UGAACUCGAAGUUGUAUGAAGUUGGAACGUUUGCGUACGUUUACCACUAGGGGCGCUGUUUCAACUGCAUAAAAAUUUUAGUUA
rnacentral:pre_miRNA from 1 species